CCCUUAGAUGUUCUGGGCUGCACGCGUGCUACAAUGGCGCUUGCAACAAGUCUUGCCAACCCGAUAGGGUGAGCGGAUCUUUGAAGAGGCGUCGUGAUCGGGACAGUUGAUUGCAAUUAUUCGACUCGAACGAGGAAUUCCUUGUAAUCGCGAUUCAUCAUAUCGCGCUGAAUACGUCCCUGCCCUUUGUACACACCGCCCGUCGCUCCUACCGAUGAGUCGUCCGGUGAAGUUCGUAGACCUCGUGAUUGCGGAUCACUGGGGGAAGCAAAAUGAACCUCGCGGUUUAGAGGAAGGAGAAGUCGUAACA
rnacentral:rRNA from 1 species